GUGAGGAGAAAGAAGAAGCUGAAGGCUGGGCUUCUGGUGCUUCUGGGGUCCAGCCACACCCCCACCCCCCAGUGCCACCCAGGCGACCAGUGCCAACAGCCCACUGUCUCCUCAG
rnacentral:miRNA from 1 species